GACGAACGCUGGCGGCGUGCUUAACACAUGCAAGUCGAACGGAAAGGCCCUGCUUUUGUGGGGUGCUCGAGUGGCGAACGGGUGAGUAACACGUGAGUAACCUGCCCUUGACUUUGGGAUAACUUCAGGAAACUGGGGCUAAUACCGGAUAGGAGCUCCUGCUGCAUGGUGGGGGUUGGAAAGUUUCGGCGGUUGGGGAUGGACUCGCGGCUUAUCAGCUUGUUGGUGGGGUAGUGGCUUACCAAGGCUUUGACGGGUAGCCGGCCUGAGAGGGUGACCGGCCACAUUGGGACUGAGAUACGGCUCAGACUCCUACGGGAGGCAGCAGUGGGGAAUAUUGCACAAUGGGCGGAAGCCUGAUGCAGCAACGCCGCGUGCGGGAUGACGGCCUUCGGGUUGUAAACCGCUUUCGCCUGUGACGAAGCGUGAGUGACGGUAAUGGGUAAAGAAGCACCGGCUAACUACGUGCCAGCAGCCGCGGUGAUACGUAGGGUGCGAGCGUUGUCCGGAUUUAUUGGGCGUAAAGGGCUCGUAGGUGGUUGAUCGCGUCGGAAGUGUAAUCUUGGGGCUUAACCCUGAGCGUGCUUUCGAUACGGGUUGACUUGAGGAAGGUAGGGGAGAAUGGAAUUCCUGGUGGAGCGGUGGAAUGCGCAGAUAUCAGGAGGAACACCAGUGGCGAAGGCGGUUCUCUGGGCCUUUCCUGACGCUGAGGAGCGAAAGCGUGGGGAGCGAACAGGCUUAGAUACCCUGGUAGUCCACGCUGUAAACGGUGGGUACUAGGUGUGGGGUCCAUUCCACGGGUUCCGUGCCGUAGCUAACGCUUUAAGUACCCCGCCUGGGGAGUACGGCCGCAAGGCUAAAACUCAAAGGAAUUGACGGGGCCCCGCACAAGCGGCGGAGCAUGCGGAUUAAUUCGAUGCAACGCGUAGAACCUUACCUGGGUUUGACAUGGAUCGGGAGCGCUCAGAGAUGGGUGUGCCUCUUUUGGGGUCGGUUCACAGGUGGUGCAUGGCUGUCGUCAGCUCGUGUCGUGAGAUGUUGGGUUAAGUCCCGCAACGAGCGCAACCCUUGUUCACUGUUGCCAGCACGUUAUGGUGGGGACUCAGUGGAGACCGCCGGGGUCAACUCGGAGGAAGGUGGGGAUGACGUCAAGUCAUCAUGCCCCUUAUGUCCAGGGCUUCACGCAUGCUACAAUGGCUGGUACAGAGAGUGGCGAGCCUGUGAGGGUGAGCGAAUCUCGGAAAGCCGGUCUCAGUUCGGAUUGGGGUCUGCAACUCGACCUCAUGAAGUCGGAGUCGCUAGUAAUCGCAGAUCAGCAACGCUGCGGUGAAUACGUUCCCGGGGCU
rnacentral:rRNA from 1 species